GCAAGGAGAGGCUGGAAAGCUGAUGCUGCAUUUUCUGGCUUGGUUAAGAAGCCCGGAGUCUCCUUGCACAGAGUUCACAGCAUCAUAAUUCCUUGGAAUUUGUGACUCUCAGGGACCUCUGAAGGGUACAGCAUCUAGGAGGAUACAGUUCUACAUGAUCAGGGACCUGCAUCUACUGAACUGAGAAGGAUGGGAGCCACUAAACAAGAGUUUCUGAUUUUCAAAGACUCAGGUGUGAAGAGCUACUUAAUAUGCUGUUCUGCAACCAUUCCCUGCCCAGCCAGCAAGCUGCAAGGCAAAGCAGACAAAAGCCUGUGUUUCAGAACCAAGUAAAAGAAAGUGUGUCAAGCUUGGAGGCUGGAAGGAAAAUCAGGGAAAAGGUCCUGACAAGGUCACUUGAAAGCAAGCAUAUCAAGAUUUAUGUGGAGCCAGAAUUAUUCGGGAAAAAAAAUUAAAACAUCAACUAUCAGGCUGACGAACCUCUGUGGAGCAUUGAAGCCGAAAAAGUAUUUAAGUGGGGAGCAGCAGAGAGGCAUGAGUGAUCUCAUAUGAACUCCUGAUGUGUUCAAAGGAAAUCUCAGGGGGCUGAUCCGGUAAUCCGAUGGCCAGGGUUGCCUAUGGUAGGCCAUAAAGACUAACCAGAGGCUUCA